rnacentral:rRNA from 1 species
UACGAAGGGGGCUAGCGUUGUUCGGAAUUACUGGGCGUAAAGCGCGUGUAGGCGGUUUCGCAAGUCAGGUGUGAAAGCCCGGGGCUCAACCCCGGAAGUGCACUUGAUACUACGGAGCUUGAGUACUGAAGAGGAGAGCGGAAUUCCCGGUGUAGAGGUGAAAUUCGUAGAUAUCGGGAGGAACACCAGUGGCGAAGGCGGCUCUCUGGGCAGAUACUGACGCUGAGACGCGAAAGCCAGGGGAGCAAACGGG